rnacentral:sRNA from 12 species
UCCUAGCUUUUCCUUAUGUGGUUUUCAUUUUUGAUCAUGUAAGAAAUGGAGUAGCUUGGAACUACACGUCCUUUCACUAUGAGAACUUUUGUUCCUAUAAAAUACAACCAUGACAGAAAUGAACUGGUGGUGAAAAUACAUGUGAAAGGGCUAUAGCGG